AAUCCCCCGAUUCUUCCCUUCACUGUUUCUUCGCGUCCCGAUCCUCACCUCUCCACCGGCGAUCCUCUUCCUCUCUCGGUGUCGCCGGCGCAAAGCAUCCACCGGAGCUUGAGAAGGAAGCAAGUUGCCGAUGCUUCUUCCUCUCCCCUCAUCUUCCUUUCUCUCGAUAUCUCUGUGCCCUAGACUUGCCGAUGCCGAGCCUCACGAUCUCUCUCUCUCGCGCGCGAUCUCAUUGCCGUCAGUCACCACGACCGAUGCCCCGAUCACCACCGAAGCUGGCUCGUCGUCUGAUGUUGCUGUCUUCAGAUUUCUUGAUGUCGUUGAUCUUGAUUCGAUGCCAACGCGCUGUCGACUCCGAUCAACUCACCGCUGGUCAAAAAGAAGAGGAUAUGAACCCUAGAUUUGGUCCCUUGUUACCUCACCCGUGUGUUGUGGUUUCAACCACUGGUGCCUAUGUUCGAGCCGUGUUUUUUUGUUGUCGUCUACACUGCCGCCGGCCAUAAGCACCAGGUGCUCGCCAAGAGUCGACGAUAGAGACACACCGCUGGAUUGUCAUUGCAUCACCUACCUCUCCUCGCGUUCCCGAUCGUUGGAUACUCAUGGGUUGGUCAUCCUCUUUCAGCCAUAAGAAGGUAUGAGGGCAGUUGAUUCUUGUUUCCUGCUUGAUUGUUGCCACAGCUAAUCACCAAGGGCAAUUUGUUACCUUGCGGAAAUCUUGAAGGUGUUUGAUGAAUUGCCUUAAGCUUCUUGUUUCCUCUGUUUGUGCCGGACAAGCUGUGUUUGGUGGGUAAUCUCCAUUUUCCUCCAUAGUAGGCAAUAAACCUCUAUCGAUGGUUGUGUAUCCCGAUCAGCCACUUCCAGAUUGAGGACUUAGAUUCGGGACGAGCGUCUCGACGCGGGAUUACUUGGCAUGAUCUAUAUUUAAGG